GACUGGUUCAUCAUGACCAUCAAUGACUGCAAGCCAUGAAUGGAAGGAGUUCCCAUCUCUCAAUAUUUGUAUGAUUGCAUCCUCUGAACCACUAAGUAUUAGAUCUUUUAUUGUUGCUAAACAAAGAACUGCAAAAUGAUGGCCUUGCAAAAAUCCCCCUUGAUUAUACUAGACAUUCUUUCCUUUUCCUAGAAGUUUAUCAGUCCAUUUGAUGAGCCCGAACAGAGGAUGCGCUCGUCAGGAUUUUCUGGAGAUGGUUGAAACUUAAGUGUCAUUGUCAAAAUAUGUGAGCUUUCUAUAAAAAAAACCGUUCUCCAUAUUUUCACUGUGCCAUCAGAAGAGCAAGUGAAGACACAUUUAUCUUCUUGGUUUAAGACAAUGGCAUUGACAUGGCCUGCAUGAGCAACAAAUGAGUCAAAACGUAAUCUUUCUGAUAUAUUCCACACCUUAACUGUAUCAUCCCAUGAUCCUGUGUACAAGAGCUUCUCCUUGUGAUUGAAUGCUAUGCAUGAGAUAGAAUCUCUAUGUUGCUCAUUAUUCUUCUUCAGAUAGGAGAAGAAUGACCUUUUCUGAGGCAAGGUGACCGUCUUCUUUGGUCUAAAGUUUUCUGGCAAUGAAACAUCCCACACACGGAUUCUGUAGUCUUCAUGUGUGGUGAAAAGCAUUUUCCAGUAAGCUAAUAUGGCUUGAAUUUCACCAAUUGUAGCCUCGAUACAUCCCAUCUCCGUACAAUCUUGUUGUUUAUGGAUCCUACUGCUUGCAGACCCUGUAAAAAUGAAGUCGCUUGUGACUGCUAUAGAGAAGAUGUUUACCUUUGCUGUGAUAGAGUGAGGCUAAGCAGCGAUAUAGAAGAGGUGGAGAUAAAGAGGCACGGACGGGGGAACGUGUCCAUGGUGUCUCGGGGCUAAUAGGCCAAAGCGGAAAUGAAGCUGCUUGACGCUCAAUAUGUUCUUUGCUGAAGUGAAUUCAGAAUGAGCCUCAUUGUUUACAAAUGAAAAUCUUCGAGGUAAGUCUGUGUUCCCUUUCUUCAUCCAUCAAGUUCCAAUGGGGAUUUUCACCACUGAACUCCAUGAAAAUGUUGCAAAGUUUGGAAACGAUACUGAAGGAAAAACUAACUUUCUAAGAGAUUCAAUAGUACACAUAUAACUUGGUUGCUUUCUCGAGGAACAUCACUUUGAGAUAAAGUCGAGGAAUUUAAUCAGGAGUUUAUAUGGUGUCAUUGAGUAGGUUGUAAACGUGUACAAGUUAUGAUAUUGCUACUUUUGACAAUUCACAGCGCAAUGUAGGGAAAUUGGAAGUGUGUAUUGACUGUUCUAUCAGUGUCUUAUGCCAUUUAUCUUUAAAAAAAAAAAAAAAAAAGGUUGAACCUCAACUUUGAGGACCCUCACCGUCCCGCCCCUAGAGCUUUGUGAGGGAGGUAAAUCGCGGGAUGUGCCCUAGCAGGCCAGGGAACAAGAGUUGUCUGUACACUGCGCCUGCAAGGAGUACAAUUCCAUGUCUCAAGAAUCGAACUCCGACACUGCGGCUGCCAGCAAGGCGUGAGAUAACCUCACUUCUAUCAUUUGCACCACUGGACUAUACCUCGAGGCACCAUUUAUCUUUUAUGAACAUGGGCAGGGUGUGCAUUAGGCACUAUUAGCCCAAGUAGUCCUGAAAAUUUAAAUGAUGUAAUUUUCAUAGUAAAUCACAUUUCCUCAUGAUUUAUUGGCUCUGACAGUAGGUUGGUUGCAUGGUAAGGAAAGUGCUGCAAGUACCUUUCUGAAUAAUGUUUUGACGUAUCCCUGUUGAGCACAUAAAUUAAGUAUUGCAC
rnacentral:lncRNA from 1 species